GAUGAAGAACGUAGCGAAAUGCGAUACGUAAUGUGAAUUGCAGAAUUCAGUGAAUCAUCGAAUCUUUGAACGCAUAUUGCGCUCUCUGGUAUUCCGGAGAGUAUGCUUGUUUGAGUAUCAGUAAACACCUCAACUUCCAUAUCUUUUUUGAAAUGGGAGUUGGACUUGAGUGAUCCCAACGCUUUUCCUCACCGAAAAGUGGCGGGUUACUUGAAAUGCAGGUGCAGCUGGACUUUUCUCUGAGCUAUAAGCAUAUCUAUUUAGUCUGCCUAAAAAACAGAUUAUUACCUUUGCUGCAGCUAACAUAAAGGAGAUUAGUUCUUGUGCUGACUGAUGCAGGAUUCACAAAGACAGGCUUCGGCCGACUUUGUAAACUCGAUCUCAAAUCAAGUAAGACUACCCGCUGAACUUAAGCAUAUCAAUAAGCGGAGGA
rnacentral:misc_RNA from 1 species